CCAAUAGCGUAUAUUAAAGUUGUUGCAGUUAAAAAGCUCGUAGUUGAAUUUCGGGAUCGAUAUAUCGGUCGUGCCAUUGGUACGUACUGGUAUCAUUGGUUUCUCCUUUCUGACGAACCAUGAUGUCAUUAAUUUGGUGUUAUGGGAAGUUAGGACUGUUACUUUGAAAAAAUUAGAGUGUUUAAAGCAGGCUUUAGCUUGAAUACAUUAGCAUGGAAUAAUGAAAUAGGACGUUCGAACCUAUUUUGUUGGUUUCUAGGAUCAACGUAAUGAUUAAUAGGGAUAGUUGGGGGCAUUAGUAUUCAAUUGUCAGAGGUGAAAUUCUUGGAUUUAUUGAAGACUAACUACUGCGAAAGCAUUUGCCAAGGAUGUUUUUCAUUAAUCAAGAACGAAAGUUAGGGGAUCGAAGACGAUCAGAUACCGUCGUAGUCUUAACCAUAAACUAUGCCGACUAGGGAUCGGAUGAUGUUAAUUUUUUAAUGACUCAUUCGGCGCCUUACG
rnacentral:rRNA from 1 species